rnacentral:rRNA from 1 species
CCAGAGAACUUUCCAGAGAUGGAUUUGGUGCCUUCGGGAACUCUGAGACAGGUGCUGCAUGGCUGUCGUCAGCUCGUGUUGUGAAAUGUUGGGUUAAGUCCCGCAACGAGCGCAACCCUUAUCCUUUGUUGCCAGCGGUUAGGCCGGGAACUCAAAGGAGACUGCCAGUGAUAAACUGGAGGAAGGUGGGGAUGACGUCAAGUCAUCAUGGCCCUUACGAGUAGGGCUACACACGUGCUACAAUGGCGCAUACAAAGAGAAGCGACCUCGCGAGAGCAAGCGGACCUCAUAAAGUGCGUCGUAGUCCGGAUUGGAGUCUGCAACUCGACUCCAUGAAGUCGGAAUCGCUAGUAAUCGUGGAUCAGAAUGCCACGGUGAAUACGUUCCCGGGCCUUGUACACACCGCCCGUCACACCAUGGGAGUGGGUUGCAAAAGAAGUAGGUAGCUUAACCUUCGGGAGGGCGCUUACCACUUUGUGAUUCAUGACUGGGGUGAAGUCGUAACAAGGUAGGCGUAGUGCU